AUGCGUUCCACCUUCACGCAGACCUGGACACUUCAGCAAGAUUCUUAGUCCGGGCCGCCACAUCUCUGCUGUUAACGACUUUGACACAAAAAGCGAGAGCGAACAGAGAAGCCAGAAUGAAGCCGAUGCGCUACUUCACGCCGACACAGUUCCACAGCGGCAGAGCCUGCAACAGAAUGCAGACCAAGAGCAGGAGUGCUACGAUAGUGGAGAGUAUUCGGAUAUCUUACCAUCCCUUCUGCAGCUGGCGCAGGAAGCAUCCACCCUCUCCUUCAGUAACACUACACUGCCUUUAGAGCUCUCUUUUGUCAUUUAAAACUCUAAUGCAUUUGAUAUUGUGCUGUGGUGGUUGAUAGUAUAAAAGUGGUAUCUGAAACUAAUUAAAGGCUGUUUAAUGAAAGGCUCAGUAUCAUAAUGCGGCAAUUUGAUAUGUCAAUUGUAAAUGUAAAUCAUGUACAUUUUCUGUAGUGAUUUUAUCCAUCAGUGAACUCGAACCUCU